rnacentral:rRNA from 1 species
CCUACGGGAGGCAGCAGUGAGGAAUAUUGGUCAAUGGACGAGAGUCUGAACCAGCCAAGUAGCGUGAAGGAUGACUGCCCUAUGGGUUGUAAACUUCUUUUAUAAAGGAAUAAAACGAGGCACGUAUGCCUUUUUGCAUGUACUUUAUGAAUAAGGAUCGGCUAACUCCGUGCCAGCAGCCGCGGUAAUACGGAGGAUCCGAGCGUUAUCCGGAUUUAUUGGGUUUAAAGGGAGCGUAGAUGGGUUGUUAAGUCAGUUGUGAAAGUUUGCGGCUCAACCGUAGAAUUGCAAUUGAUACUGGCAGUCUUGAGUACAGUUGAGGUAGGCGGAAUUCGUGGUGUAGCGGUGAAAUGCUUAGAUAUCACGAAGAACCCCGAUUGCGAAGGCAGCUUACUAAACUGUGACUGACAUUGAUGCUCGAAAGUGUGGGGAUCAAACAGGAUUAGAUACCCUGGUAGUC